ensembl:lncRNA
GUGUUUUCUGCUCUGUUAAGUGCAGCAGUGGAUUAGUCAGCCGGUUUAUUUAAGGCAGGUCAAGAGUCAGGGGACACAAGUCAGUGUGUCCCUGCGCGUCUCAGGUCCUCAGUGAGGAGGAUGCAGAGUAACAUCUACAGGCAACAGGAUGAGCACUUUGAGGUGUACACCACCGUCCUCUCCCCACAAGUGCCCCGGGGACGAUGUCAGUUCAGGCAGGCAGAAGUUGAGAAGGCAAGUUUUCCUUUGUUAAUUUAUCCCUUCAGAUCCAGCACAUUAACUAACCAUGGUUAAUGAACACACCUCUACCCUCUGUAGUCAGUUCAGGUUGUUUUUGAGUCUCCCAAGGAUCUUUUUGCAUCAGUUAUUAGACAGUUGCAUAGUCAGUUCCAAGUGGGAUGUUGUUAGUUUGGUUCUUCAUUACUUGGAUGAAUCAAAUUUCUAUUUAAAGAGAACAGAUAAUGGAA